rnacentral:rRNA from 1 species
AUUGAACGCUGGCGGCAGGCUUAACACAUGCAAGUCGAGCGGGGUGAUGGUGCUUGCACUAUCACUUAGCGGCGGACGGGUGAGUAAUGCUUAGGAAUCUGCCUAUUAGUGGGGGACAACAUCUCGAAAGGGAUGCUGAUACCGCAUACGUCCUACGGGAGAAAGCAGGGGAUCACUUGUGACCUUGCGCUAAUAGAUGGGCCUAAGUCGGAUUAGCUAGUUGGUGGGGUAAAGGCCUACCAAGGCGACGAUCUGUAGCGGGUCUGAGAGGAUGAUCCGCCACACUGGGACUGAGACACGGCCCAGACUCCUACGGGAGGCAGCAGUGGGGAAUAUUGGACAAUGGGGGGAACCCUGAUCCAGCCAUGCCGCGUGUGUGAAGAAGGCCUUAUGGUUGUAAAGCACUUUAAGCGAGGAGGAGGCUCUUUUGGUUAAUACCCAGAAUGAGUGGACGUUACUCGCAGAAUAAGCACCGGCUAACUCUGUGCCAGCAGCCGCCGUAA